GGGAAAGUGAAUAUUAUUGGGUUAAAUAGUUAAAUUUGUUAUUUCUUUAAAUUUGAAAUUUUUAGGUGAAAUUUUAAUUUUAUUUUAAUAGAACUAAUUGAAACUAUGAAAUUUAUUUUAAAAACAAGGAUUAGAUACCCUUUUAUUUUAAAUGUAAAUAUUAACCUGGGUAGUAAUAGUUAUGUUCUUGAAACCCAAAGAAUUUGGCGGUAUUUUAUUCCUUUUAGAGGAACCUGUCCUGUAAUUGAUAAUCCACGAUAGAUAAUUACUUGUUUUUGUAUUCAUUUUGUAUACCUCCGUCAUCAGAAUAUCUUUUUAGAGAAAAUGUUCAAAUAAUACAAAAUAUAAUAUGUCAGGUCAAGGUGCAAUUUAUAAACAAGUAGAGAUGGGUUACAAUAAAUGUAUUUAAGACGAAUUAAUACUUAUAUAAGUAUUAUGAAGGUGGAUUUAAAAGUAAAAUUAAUUCUUUCUUAUUUUGAUUUUGGCUCUAAAAUAUGCACACAUCGCCCGUCGCUCUUAUUUUAAAAUAAGAUAAGUCGUAACAUAGUAGGUGUACUGGAAGGUGUACCUAGAAAGUAA
rnacentral:rRNA from 1 species